GACCCAUAGAGCUUGACUUGCCGCCAGUCUACAAGUGCAGCAAUUUCUGACAAUUGGUCUUAUUAUCCUCAAGAGGCUGAGAAAGGAGGAAUCUGAGUUCAAGAUUUGCUUGGGCUACAGUGACGUGGUGGUGAGAUGCCCAGCCUUUAUGCCAUGGAUUCCAUCAUUUGCAAAAUACCUCUGCACAAAAGAAGUCUCGUGAUUGUGAGGUACCAAGGAGGCAAAAGAAUGUGAUCUGCAUGUGACCUGAGCCUAGUAUUCCAACUGUAUUCUUAGACAAGGAGACUACUGUCUGAUAACUAAUUGUGCACUUAAUUUUCUCUAUAUUUGUAUCUAUUUUAUUGGGGUGGGGGAGGCUGUGCCACACUUCAAGUGCUGAAGUCAAAGGACAACCUGCUGAAACCAGUCCUGGGGAUCUAACUCAGGUCACUGGGCCUGGCAGCAAGACUUCUCCCCACAGAGCCAUCUCACGGGCUUUGUGCACUUAGCAUUCUGAUAACUCUUACGAUCAUUGCUUUGAAGCUGAAAAGAGAGUUACAGGAGAGUACAGGACAGGAGACUUCACCCGGAUCCUGCUGCAUGAAGCAGGAACUUUUGACCUGUGAGCUGACAGACAUGCUCCUGCCUCUGUAAACAGGUGGAGUAGAGAGAUGGAAGCAGAAGCCAGUGGGAAGCAGGUGCACAGACCCUGUACGGCUGUACAAAGGCCACUGUGCCCAGAGGGCAGAAAUGCCUAGCUGGAUUAGGCAAGGAUUACCAUAUAAGGAUUUACAGAAAUUGAUUCAUUCCCUGGAUUCAGCUUGAAGUCCAGGCAAGAAGGGCCCUCCCACGGAAAUCAACAAGUAUCUCAUUGCCGGAGAAGAAAAUCUGAAAAGCAUUCACAGGCUUCAAGACAACAUCUUUUGAAAUCUUCCCUGGCACUUCCUUCCAAAGCACCUUUUUUCUAAAAACAGAAUUCUCAAGAGUGA